AUUGAACGCUGGCGGCAGGCCUAAUACAUGCAAGUCGAGCGAAGGAAGGGAGCGUUUUCUCCUAUGCAGUUGCGGACGGAUGGGUAAGUACUAGGUGGCUACCUGACAGUUAGGCCUGGGGUACGUCAGGGAACCCGAAUACAUCACAGGUCAUAAUGUUGAACGGGAGGGUUCAUCGGUGAAAACGGUAUUAGAUGAGCCUAGUGAGGGUUCCCGCGUCGCAUUAGCUAGUUGGUAAGGUAACGGCUUACCAAGGCAACGAUGCGUAGCCGACCUGAGAGGGUGAUCAGCCACACUGGAACUGAGACACGGUCCAGACUCCUACGGGAGGCAGCAGUAGGGAAUCUUCCGCAAUGGGCGAAAGCCUGACGGAGCAACGCCGCGUGAGUGAUGAAGGUCUUCGGAUCGUAAAACUCUGUUAUUAGGGAAGAACAGAUGUGUAAGUAACUAUGCACGUCUUGACGGUACCUAAUCAGAAAGCCACGGCUAACUACGUG
rnacentral:rRNA from 1 species